CGGUGGGUGGUCAGGAGAAGGAAAUGAAAUGACGCCUGCAAAGCACUCCGUCAACUGUCGCCCAGUAUUAGGAUACCGUGGCCAGGGCUAUUGCUGUUGGUGGAGAACUGAGGGCCCGCGGCGUGCCGUGCAAGCCUGAGACAGCGCAGUAGCCCGAUGGAAGGAAACGUGCCAGAAACGAACCUGUGCACGCGGGCCCCAGACACGUCUGCACGCGCGUGGCUACGACAGAGACACAGGGUCAGCUCCACGGCCUCAAGCCUUCGCUGAGCGCCUCCGGACAACCGGGCACGCGGUGCGCAGCCCGCAGUUACAAAGACAAACCAGGAACAGGCCCCGUUUGGGGGAACCCUCCAAACCAUCAAACUCGACGACACGUAGUGCAUGAAGCAAACCAGCGGCAGAAUGAGAAAGAAUAAGGAGCAAAAAAAGAAGAGAUGGUGCUUCGGAGUGAUUGACAACCCAGUUUCAAAUCCUGGCCAUGUCCUUUACAAGCCGGGCCUAGCUGGACCGGUUCCCUAUGCUUAUAAAGUCCCCUGUGCCCAUAUUACAAAUCAAACAGACAAGGGAUGCCUUGAAUAAUUGGGAACUACAGUUGCAGUUUUUGAGGCGAAUGGACUCCAAAUCCAGCCAAGAACAACAACUUGAUCUGUAAAGCCUCACUUGCUACGAGGAAUUUAUAAGGAGGAAAAUCAGGGAGUAAAACAAACGCAGUCAGAUCUUUUUUCCAGAAAGUCAUUUUAAUAGUCCUCUCAACCUCAGAAAAGCUGGACAGAAUUUCAUGACCUUAAGAGGCUUUGUUGUGUUAGAAUUUAGGAAUUAGGAGGCUUAGACCACUGCGUGGUACCUGUGAUACUAGAAUAGUUCUUGCAGUUAAGAAA